CCCCAAUGGGCUCACGCCUGAGGGAGCAACGCCGCGUGCAGGACGACGGCCUUCGGGUUGUAAACUGCGUUUUGGGGGGGACGAUGAUGACCGGUACCCCCCGAAUAAGCCUCGGCUAACUCUGUGCCAGCAGCCGCGGUAAGACAGAGGAGGCAAGCGUUGUCCGGACUGACUGGGCGUAAAGCGCGCGCAGGCGGCUGCGGGCGUCGGUGCUGAAACGCCCCCCGCGUUAACGGGGGGUCGCGUGCCGAUACGCCGCAACUUGAGGGCGGCGAGGGUGGUGGAAUUGCCGGUGUAGUGGUGAAAUGCGUAGAGAUCGGCAGGAACACCCGUGGCGAAGGCGGCCACCUAGCCCGACCCUGACGCUGAGGCGCGACAGCGGUGGGGAGCGAACCGGAUUAGAUACCCGGGUAGUCCACGCCGUAAACGAUGCCGACUCGGUCUUCGGUGCGCUAUUGGCGCGCGUCGGGGCCCAGCUUACGCGGUAAGUCGGCCGCCGUGGGACUACGAGCGCAAGACUU
rnacentral:rRNA from 1 species